rnacentral:rRNA from 1 species
ACGAAGCACUUUAUUUGAUUUCCUUCGGGACUGAUUAUUUUGUGACUGAGUGGCGGACGGGUGAGUAACGCGUGGGUAACCUGCCUUGUACAGGGGGAUAACAGUUGGAAACGGCUGCUAAUACCGCAUAAGCGCACGGCAUCGCAUGAUGCAGUGUGAAAAACUCCGGUGGUAUAAGAUGGACCCGCGUUGGAUUAGCUAGUUGGUGAGGUAACGGCCCACCAAGGCGACGAUCCAUAGCCGACCUGAGAGGGUGACCGGCCACAUUGGGACUGAGACACGGCCCAAACUCCUACGGGAGGCAGCAGUGGGGAAUAUUGCACAAUGGGCGAAAGCCUGAUGCAGCGACGCCGCGUGAGCGAAGAAGUAUUUCGGUAUGUAAAGCUCUAUCAGCAGGGAAGAUAAUGACGGUACCUGACUAAGAAGCACCGGCUAAAUACGUGCCAGCAGCCGCGGUAAUACGUAUGGUGCAAGCGUUAUCCGGAUUUACUGGGUGUAAAGGGAGCGCAGGCGGUGCGGCAAGUCUGAUGCGAA